AAAGUUAUAUUCUUUAUUCUGAGUGGAGUGAAGAAGCUUAUGGUUUUACAAAUAUGUUUAUUUAUAUUUUUUUCUGUGGACAACUUUUCUACCAGAAAUUUUACUCCGAUAUUUAAGUGUAGCACAUUUUCUAAAAAGAAAUUUGACUAGAAAGGUACUCUGAAGAUGUCUUUUUUGAUUUUCUCCGGGAAAUUUUUCAAUCAAUGAGACAAACCGGGAAAAACAUGAGAUAACCGUAGGAAAAAUCGGAAAAUAAGUACA